UAGGGAAUCUUCGGCAAUGGACGAAAGUCUGACCGAGCAACGCCGCGUGAGUGAAGAAGGUUUUCGGAUCGUAAAACUCUGUUGUUAGAGAAGAACAAGGAUGAGAGUAACUGUUCAUCCCUUGACGGUAUCCAACCAGAAAGUCACGGCUAACUACGUACCAG
rnacentral:rRNA from 1 species